AUUGAACGCUGGCGGCAUGCCUUACACAUGCAAGUCGAACGGCAGCACGGGAGCAAUCCUGGUGGCGAGUGGCGAACGGGUGAGUAAUAUAUCGGAACGUGCCCAGUCGUGGGGGAUAACGCAGCGAAAGCUGUGCUAAUACCGCAUACGAUCUCUGGAUGAAAGCGGGGGACCGCAAGGCCUCGCGCGAUUGGAGCGGCCGAUAUCAGAUUAGCUAGUUGGUGGGGUAAAAGCUUACCAAGGCGACGAUCUGUAGCUGGUCUGAGAGGACGACCAGCCACACUGGAACUGAGACACGGUCCAGACUCCUACGGGAGGCAGCAGUGGGGAAUUUUGGACAAUGGGCGCAAGCCUGAUCCAGCAAUGCCGCGUGCAGGAUGAAGGCCU
rnacentral:rRNA from 1 species